rnacentral:lncRNA from 1 species
AGGGAACACUACCUCAACCUAUAUGCUCCACUCACAAAGCUUCAACAUACAAGCUUCAACAAAAGAAAAUUCAAAGAACUUAGCGAAUAAGGCUUUAGUGUAUUUAACAUAAUACGUUGAAAUGAAGGAAAGCUUAUUUAUUGAUAUCCCCGAUAAGUUACAAAUAUGUACAUAUACUUGAGUCAAAAUAAACAAACAAGAGGGAGCCUUCACAAAGGUUGCUUAGGAGAAGUCUCAGCAGUCGGUAGAGCCCCAGAAAGAGAAGGCACCGGAGGAGGAUCAUUCGGAGCCUCAGUACUGGACAAAACCCUAGAAGGAGGAGGCAUCAGAGGUUGAUCAUUUGGAGCUUCAUUACGCGGUACAGCCCCAGAAGACGAAGGCAAUAAAUGCCUUUGGAACAAACCCACAAAUCUCUGAUGAUCAAGUAAAACCUAACCAUCAGAUUCCUUCAUCUGGUCAAGCUUCCUCUUCAUGUUUGUAGCAUAGUCAUGUGCGAGCCGGUGCAACUGUUUAUUCUCUCAUGCUUGAGCCCUAAUCUCCUCCUGUUUGAGACUCAUCACUUCAGCCGCCAAUGAUUCAACUUGGCGGGUUCGAGCAAAUAGGCGUUGGGCCAUAUUAGACACACAGAACCUGCACACUGAACACUGAGAGCCAGAGAAUCCUUAACAGCCAACUCAUCAGACCGUUUGGAAAGUAGUCUGUUAUCUUUGGGAGUGAGAAGGUUCAUGGCCACUACCGCAGCGGUCAUAUCAUUCUUCAUCACGGAAUCCCCAACGGUAAGAGGACCAGUAGGGGAGACGAAGAAUGGGCGCCAUAUGUUGUCUGGAGAAGGCGGGGCUGCCUCUUCAACAAGGUUCAAGUCAAAACGACGGUCAGAGGGGCCAGACAUUUUCAAAGGUGUUGAAGAGAGAAGAGGUCGGACAAAUCAAGAUCUUAGAAGUGCAAGAAUGGAGC